CAGCAGGCGCGCAAAUUACCCACUCCCGGCACGGGGAGGUAGUGACGAAAAAUAACGAUACGGGACUCAUCCGAGGCCCCGUAAUCGGAAUGAGUAUACUCUAAAUCCUUAUACGAGUAUCAAUUGGAGGGCAAGUCUGGUGCCAGCAGCCGCGGUAAUUCCAGCUCCAAUAGCGUAUAUUAAAGUUGUUGCGGUUAAAAAGCUCGUAGUUGGAUCUGUGUCCCGCGCCGUCGGUUCACCGCCUGUCGGUGUUCAACUGGCGUGUAUGCGGGACGUCCUGCCGGUGGCGGUCCGGUUCCCCGGCGGUACGUAGGGGUCGUCCUUGCUUUGCUUGCGUCGUCCCCGAAGGCCGUCGCGGUGUUUCCGGCCGCCUUUUCGAUCCCGUCGCGGUGCUCUUUACCGAGUGUCGAGGCGGGCCGGCACGUUUACUUUGAACAAAUUAGAGUGCUUUAAGCAGGCCCUGUCCCGCCUGUAUGUUGUGUGCAUGGAAUAAUGGAAUAGGACCUCGGCUCUAUUUUGUUGGUUUUCGGAAUCUGAGGUAAUGAUCAAUGGGGACAGGCGGGGGCAUUCGUAUUGCGACGUUAGAGGUGAAAUUCUUGGAUCGUCGCAAGACGGACCGAAGCGAAAGCAUUUGCCAAGUAUGUUCUCGUCGAUCAAGAACGAAAGUUAGAGGUUCGAAGGCGAUCAGAUACCGCCCUAGUUCUAACCAUAAACUAUGCCUGCCAGCGAUCCGCCGAAGUUCCUCCGAUGACUCGGCGGGCAGCUUCCGGGAAACCAGAGCUUUUGGGUUCCGGGGGAAGUAUGGUUGCAAAGCUGAAACUUAAAGGAAUUGACGGAAGGGCACCACCAGGAGUGGAGCCUGCGGCUUAAUUUGACUCAACACGGGAAAACUCACCAGGCCCGGACACCGGAAGGAUUGACAGAUUGAGAGCUCUUUCUUGAUUCGGUGGGUGGUGGUGCAUGGCCGUUCUUAGUUGGUGGAGCGAUUUGUCUGGUUAAUUCCGAUAACGAACGAGACUCUAGCCUACUAACUAGGCGUACCCGGUAUCCACAAUCGUGCUACCGGCGAUCAAAUUUCUUCUUAGAGGGACAGGCGGCUUCUAGCCGCACGAGACUGAGCAAUAACAGGUCUGUGAUGCCCUUAGAUGUCCUGGGCCGCACGCGCGCUACACUGAAGGAAUCAGCGUGUCUUCCCUGUCCGAAAGGACCGGGUAACCCGCUGAACCUCCUUUGUGCUAGGGAUUGGGGCUUGCAAUUGUUCCCCAUGAACGAGGAAUUCCCAGUAAGCGCGAGUCAUAAGCUCGCGUUGAUUACGUCCCUGCCCUUUGUACACACCGCCCGUCGCUACUACCGAUUGAAUGAUUUAGUGAGGUCUUCGGACUGGUGCGCGGAGGCCGCUUCCGCGGUCUCCGAUGUUGCUGGAAAGAUGACCAAACUUGAUCAUUUAGAGGAAGUAAAAGUCGUAACAAGGUUUCCGUAGGUGAAC
rnacentral:rRNA from 1 species